rnacentral:rRNA from 1 species
GAGUGUGAUCAUACCAACGUUAAUGCACCAGAUCCCAUCAGAACUGCGGAGUUAAGCGGGCAUGGGAUAGAGUAGUACUGGGAUGGGUGACCUCCUGGAAAGUCCUAGUGUUGUACCCU